UUAAGCGACUAAGCGUACACGGUGGAUGCCCUGGCAGUCAGAGGCGAUGAAGGACGUGCUAAUCUGCGAUAAGCGUCGGUAAGGUGAUAUGAACCGUUAUAACCGGCGAUUUCCGAAUGGGGAAACCCAGUGUGAUUCGUCACACUAUCAUUAACUGAAUCCAUAGGUUAAUGAGGCGAACCGGGGGAACUGAAACAUCUAAGUACCCCGAGGAAAAGAAAUCAACCGAGAUUCCCCCAGUAGCGGCGAGCGAACGGGGAGGAGCCCAGAGCCUGAAUCAGUGUGUGUGUUAGUGGAAGCGUCUGGAAAGGCGCGCGAUACAGGGUGACAGCCCCGUACACAAAAAUGCACAUAUUGUGAGCUCGAUGAGUAGGGCGGGACACGUGGUAUCCUGUCUGAAUAUGGGGGGACCAUCCUCCAAGGCUAAAUACUCCUGACUGACCGAUAGUGAACCAGUACCGUGAGGGAAAGGCGAAAAGAACCCCGGCGAGGGGAGUGAAAAAGAACCUGAAACCGUGUACGUACAAGCAGUGGGAGCCUCUUUAUGGGGUGACUGCGUACCUUUUGUAUAAUGGGUCAGCGACUUAUAUUCUGUAGCAAGGUUAACCGAAUAGGGGAGCCGAAGGGAAACCGAGUCUUAACUGGGCGUUAAGUUGCAGGGUAUAGACCCGAAACCCGGUGAUCUAGCCAUGGGCAGGUUGAAGGUUGGGUAACACUAACUGGAGGACCGAACCGACUAAUGUUGAAAAAUUAGCGGAUGACUUGUGGCUGGGGGUGAAAGGCCAAUCAAACCGGGAGAUAGCUGGUUCUCCCCGAAAGCUAUUUAGGUAGCGCCUCGUGAAUUCAUCUCCGGGGGUAGAGCACUGUUUCGGCAAGGGGGUCAUCCCGACUUACCAACCCGAUGCAAACUGCGAAUACCGGAGAAUGUUAUCACGGGAGACACACGGCGGGUGCUAACGUCCGUCGUGAAGAGGGAAACAACCCAGACCGCCAGCUAAGGUCCCAAAGUCAUGGUUAAGUGGGAAACGAUGUGGGAAGGCCCAGACAGCCAGGAUGUUGGCUUAGAAGCAGCCAUCAUUUAAAGAAAGCGUAAUAGCUCACUGGUCGAGUCGGCCUGCGCGGAAGAUGUAACGGGGCUAAACCAUGCACCGAAGCUGCGGCAGCGACACUAAGUGUUGUUGGGUAGGGGAGCGUUCUGUAAGCCUGUGAAGGUGUGCUGUGAGGCAUGCUGGAGGUAUCAGAAGUGCGAAUGCUGACAUAAGUAACGAUAAAGCGGGUGAAAAGCCCGCUCGCCGGAAGACCAAGGGUUCCUGUCCAACGUUAAUCGGGGCAGGGUGAGUCGACCCCUAAGGCGAGGCCGAAAGGCGUAGUCGAUGGGAAACAGGUUAAUAUUCCUGUACUUGGUGUUACUGCGAAGGGGGGACGGAGAAGGCUAUGUUGGCCGGGCGACGGUUGUCCCGGUUUAAGCGUGUAGGCUGGUUUUCCAGGCAAAUCCGGAAAAUCAAGGCUGAGGCGUGAUGACGAGGCACUACGGUGCUGAAGCAACAAAUGCCCUGCUUCCAGGAAAAGCCUCUAAGCAUCAGGUAACAACAAAUCGUACCCCAAACCGACACAGGUGGUCAGGUAGAGAAUACCAAGGCGCUUGAGAGAACUCGGGUGAAGGAACUAGGCAAAAUGGUGCCGUAACUUCGGGAGAAGGCACGCUGAUAUGUAGGUGAAGCGACUUGCUCGUGGAGCUGAAAUCAGUCGAAGAUACCAGCUGGCUGCAACUGUUUAUUAAAAACACAGCACUGUGCAAACACGAAAGUGGACGUAUACGGUGUGACGCCUGCCCGGUGCCGGAAGGUUAAUUGAUGGGGUUAGCGGUAACGCGAAGCUCUUGAUCGAAGCCCCGGUAAACGGCGGCCGUAACUAUAACGGUCCUAAGGUAGCGAAAUUCCUUGUCGGGUAAGUUCCGACCUGCACGAAUGGCGUAAUGAUGGCCAGGCUGUCUCCACCCGAGACUCAGUGAAAUUGAACUCGCUGUGAAGAUGCAGUGUACCCGCGGCAAGACGGAAAGACCCCGUGAACCUUUACUAUAGCUUGACACUGAACAUUGAGCCUUGAUGUGUAGGAUAGGUGGGAGGCUUUGAAGUGUGGACGCCAGUCUGCAUGGAGCCGACCUUGAAAUACCACCCUUUAAUGUUUGAUGUUCUAACGUUGGCCCCUUAUCGGGGUUGCGGACAGUGUCUGGUGGGUAGUUUGACUGGGGCGGUCUCCUCCUAAAGAGUAACGGAGGAGCACGAAGGUUGGCUAAUCCUGGUCGGACAUCAGGAGGUUAGUGCAAUGGCAUAAGCCAGCUUGACUGCGAGCGUGACGGCGCGAGCAGGUGCGAAAGCAGGUCAUAGUGAUCCGGUGGUUCUGAAUGGAAGGGCCAUCGCUCAACGGAUAAAAGGUACUCCGGGGAUAACAGGCUGAUACCGCCCAAGAGUUCAUAUCGACGGCGGUGUUUGGCACCUCGAUGUCGGCUCAUCACAUCCUGGGGCUGAAGUAGGUCCCAAGGGUAUGGCUGUUCGCCAUUUAAAGUGGUACGCGAGCUGGGUUUAGAACGUCGUGAGACAGUUCGGUCCCUAUCUGCCGUGGGCGCUGGAGAACUGAGGGGGGCUGCUCCUAGUACGAGAGGACCGGAGUGGACGCAUCACUGGUGUUCGGGUUGUCAUGCCAAUGGCACUGCCCGGUAGCUAAAUGCGGAAGAGAUAAGUGCUGAAAGCAUCUAAGCACGAAACUUGCCCCGAGAUGAGUUCUCCCUGACCCUUUAAGGGUCCUGAAGGAACGUUGAAGACGACGACGUUGAUAGGCCGGGUGUGUAAGCGCAGCGAUGCGUUGAGCUAACCGGUACUAAUGAACCGUGAGGCUUAACCUU
rnacentral:rRNA from 1 species